AAAAAAGAAUGAGUUUUGUCCUGCAAUACGUUGGAGAGGUACUCACAAGUAAAGAAGCUGAAAAAUGGGGACAGUUAUAUGACAACAAGGGAAUCACAUAUCCCUUUGAUCUGGACUAUCAAUGUGAUGAAUUCACAGUGGAUGUGGCUCGAUAUGGCAAUCUAUCUCAUUUUGUGAGUCACAGCUGUGACCGAAUCUUCAGGUGUUCAAUGUUUACACUAAUAACCUCAAUCCUUGUCUUCCCUGAAUAGCGCUGUUUUCCAUGAGAACCAUAAAUGCUGGAGAAGAGCUGACCUUUGAUUAUCAAAAUGAAAGGUUUUAGAGUUACAUCUGCAGAUUCUAUUGACCACAACCCAGCCAAAAAGAGGGUCAGAACGGUAUGUAAAUGUGGAGCUGUGACUUGCAGAAAUUACCUCAACUGAGUUUUCAGGAAAUAGAGCUGAUGAUACUUACAAUUUUUUUGCUAAUGUUAACAUUAAAAAAAAUACAUAUUUGGGACUCUUAUUAUCAAGAUUGUACCUAUGUUAAUUUACAAUUCAUGUUUCAAGACAUUUGCCAAAGCUAUUACUGAUGCCUCUGAAGAGAGGGUCACUGGGUCUCAUGGUCUGAUUUGAAAUCUACAUAUUUAGUGCCUAGAGACCAAACUAAUGGAAGGCAAACUAUUCUCAGCUCAGUAUAUGUGUACCUAAGUCUAUGUGAACAGAGAAAUGCCUCCCAAAGUGUUUGAAAGUGUUAAGCUGAUAAUCUAAUUAACAAUUACUGAGAGAUCAACAUUCAACUUGUCAUACACCUCAAAUUCAGAGAAGUAGAGUUAAUUUGGGCAAAUCUACCAGUUCUGUUUUUGCUACUAUAUUGUCAUUCCUGUUUAAUACUCACUGUACUUAAAUUUGAGACAAACAGGUGAUACUGAAUUUUAUACUCUAUUUUCUACUUUUUCAUUAAAACAUUGGCAUCUUAAUGAUAGAAAUUUAAUAUGUAAAAUUAAA